AUUGAACGCUGGCGGCAGGCCUAACACAUGCAAGUCGAACGAGUGGCGGACGGGUGCGUACUGUCUGGGAAACUGCCCGUUGGAGGGGGAUAACUACUGGAAACGGUAGCGAAUACCGCAUACCAUCGGAUGUGCGCAGGUGGGAUUCGCUAGUAGGUGGGGUAACGGUUCACCUAGGCGACGAUCCCUAGCGCGUCUGAGAGGAUGAUCGUCCACACUGGAACUGGGACACGGUCCAGACUCCUACGGGAGGCAGCAGUGGGGAAUAUUGCGCAGUGGGCGCAAGCCUGAUGCAGCCAUGCCGCGUGUGUGAAGAAGGCCUUCGGGUUGUAAAGUUCUUUCAUCGAGGAGGCGUUACUCGCAGAAGAAGCACCGGCUAACUCCGUGCCAGCAGCCGCGGUAAUAG
rnacentral:rRNA from 1 species